rnacentral:rRNA from 1 species
UUCCGGUUGAAUCCUGCCGGAGGCCAUUGCUAUGGGGAUCCGAUUUAGCCAUGCUAGUCGCACGAGCUUAGACUCGUGGCAGAUAGCUCAGUAACACGUGGCCAAACUACCCUCUGGACGAGAAUACCCUCGGGAAACUGAGGCUAAUACUCGAUACUACUCCUGCCCUGGAAUGGACGGAGAGCCAAACGCUCCGGCGCCAGAGGCUGUGGCUGCGGCCGAUUAGGUAGACGGUGGGGUAACGGCCCACCGUGCCAGUAAUCGGUACGGGUUGUGAGAGCAAGAGCCCGGAGACGGUAUCUGAGACAAGAUACCGGGCCCUACGGGGCGCAGCAGGCGCGAAACCUUUACACUGCACGACAGUGCGAUAAGGGGAUCCCCAGUGCGAGGGCAUACAGUCCUCGCUUUUCACCACCGUACGAUGGUGGUGGAACAAGAGCUGGGCAAGACCGGUGCCAGCCGCCGCGGUAAUACCGGCAGCUCAAGUGAUGGCCGUUCUUAUUGGGCCUAAAGCGUCCGUAGCCGGCCACGCAAGUUCGUCGGGAAAUCCACACGCUCAACGUGUGGGCGUCCGGCGAAACCUGCGUGGCUUGGGACCGGACGGCCCGAGGGGUACGGCCGGGGUAGGAGUGAAAUCCUGUAAUCCCGGCCGGACCACCGGUGGCGAAAGCGCCUCGGGAGGACGGAUCCGACGGUGAGGGACGAAAGCCAGGGUCACGAACCGGAUUAGAUACCCGGGUAGUCCUGGCCGUAAACGAUGCCCGUUAGGUGGGCGUAGGCUACGAGC